rnacentral:rRNA from 1 species
GUGUAAACCUCUUUCAGUAGGGAAGAAGCGAAAGUGACGGUACCUGCAGAAGAAGCGCCGGGCUAACUACGUGCCAGCAGCCGCGGUAAUACGUAGGGCGCAAGCGUUAUCCGGGAAUUAUUGGGCGUAAAGAGCUCGUAGGCGGUUUGUCGCGUCUGCCGUGAAAGUCCGGGGCUUAACUCUGGAUCUGCGGUGGGUACGGGCAGACUUGAGUGAUGUAGGGGAGACUGGAAUUCCUGGUGUAGCGGUGAAAUGCGCAGAUAUCAGGAGGAACACCGAUGGCGAAGGCAGGUCUCUGGGCAUUAACUGACGCUGAGGAGCGAAAGCAUGGGGAGCGAACAGGAUUAGAUACCCUGGUAGUCCAUGCCGUAAACGUUGGGCACUAGGUGUGGGGGACAUUCCACGUUUUCCGCGCCGUAGCUAACGCAUUAAGUGCCCCGCCUGGGGAGUACGGCCGCAAGGCUAAAACUCAAAGGAAUUGACGGGGGCCCGCACAAGCGGCGGAGCAUGCGGAUUAAUUCGAUGCAACGCGAAGAACCUUACCAAGGCUUGACAUGAACCGGAACGGCGCAGAGAUGUGUCGGCCACUUGUGGCCGGUUUACAGGUGGUGCAUGGUUGUCGUCAGCUCGUGUCGUGAGAUGUUGGGUUAAGUCCCGCAACGAGCGCAACCCUCGUUCCAUGUUGCCAGCGGGUUAUGCCGGGGACUCAUGGGAGACUGCCGGGGUCAACUCGGAGGAAGGUGGGGACGACGUCAAAUCAUCAUGCCCCUUAUGUCUUGGGCUUCACGCAUGCUACAAUGGCCGGUACAAAGGGUUGCGAUGCUGUGAGGUGGAGCUAAUCCCAAAAAGCCGGUCUCAGUUCGGAUUGAGGUCUGCAACUCGACCUCAUGAAGUCGGAGUCGCUAGUAAUCGCAGAUCAGCAACGCUGCGGUGAAUACGUUCCCGGGCCUUGUACACACCGCCCGUCAAGUCACGAAAGUUGGUAACACCCGAAGCUG